AAAGCAAUCAAUCAAAAUACAUUCAAGCAAGAAACAGAGAUAAACAGGAAGGAAAAAGGGCUUUUCCGAGUUAUUUAACGGGUAUAAAGGGGCGCAUCGAAACAGCAAUGCAAUCAGAUGAUAAAUCACAAAAAUGAACGGCCAUAAUAAAUCUCACUUACACGAUUAAUAGGUAAAACGCAUCAGCCAGAAAAUGGAGGCCCCAAUCGAAUUUUCCUCAUUGCAUUUUUAUUCAUAUCCUGUUAACUUUAUUCCCUAUAAAAUAUCCCAAAAAAUAAUUCCGAAAAAAGUAAUUGUACGGCCAACAAUAAUCAAGUGCGUAAAUCUGAGAAAAAUUGCAAUCAAAUUGGCUAACUUUUAUUUACAUUUUUUAUAAAUAAAUUUGGAUUGUUGAAUCUAUUUGGACACGAAUAAAAUUUCGUUUGAAUAUCAUUAUUACUUUUAAAAAUUGUACAACAAUUAAAUUCGAGAAAUUUAUUGGAUAAUAAAGUAAAAAUAUUAAUAAAUCGCAUUUUUUGAAAGCUCAGAACAUUAUACAAAUUUGAAAGAAGUAAACACAAGAAUAUAUUUAGUAGAAUAUUUUCCAAGUUCGCCCACAGACAAAAGAACCAACAAGCAAGCACAUCGUUAAUGAAACUGAAAGACAAACGAAAUCGAGCAUUCCUUCAUCGUUAUAAAUAUAUAAAAUAAUCAAAAAUCGAAAAGCAAAGAAUGAAAAAGAAAAAAUUCAACACAAAUUAAGUUCACGAAAGUUCACAGAAGCAAUAAAUAUCGAUGAAAAAUCGAGAAAAAUAAUUUUAGAUAGAACGGUUUAUGACAAGCUGUAUGACGAUUAAAUGGAAUGGAACACUGUGCAAGAAGAACGUACGCUGGAAGGGUCAGUUUGUGGGUUAAGUGGUCGUAUUACGUUCAAGCCUGGGACGUGGUUGAACUUUCCACAUAUGGGGACGAAGAGGGACGAUUUAACUGUCUCUGGGAGGAUGUUAGGCUUGUGAAGUUAUUCUAAAGUUUGUUCCAACGUUGGUUAUUAUACAAGUUAAUGUCGCUUAAUUUCUUUCCUCCGGAAAUAGAAUGUUAAUUUAAUCCUUGCACGGUUAAUGAAUUGAAAAUCCUUUAAGAUAUUAUUAUGAUUAAAAUAAUAACCAUAUAAUUCCGGUAUAUGUGAAAGAUAAAUGUUAUUGGAGAAAGGAUUAUUAGAGAUGGAAUUUUUUAUUUAACUUUAAUCAUUAUUUAUACAGAAACUAACUAAUUAUUAAGAAAGGAUAGUAUUUAUGAAUAUUAAAUUUGUAAAGGAAACGUUAUAACCAAAAUCAUGUUUAUUAUACGAGUAUUACAUUAAUCUUUGAGCAAGUUGCUUAAUAAUAUUCAACAAUAUUCUCACAAAAUCAUUUACCCUCUUCAUCAUUUAACAAUUUCAAGAUGGAUUCAUAAUUUCUUCUCCAGUUUACGUUCCUCAAUAUAUAACAUAUCUAAAAUAAUAAAACUGAAAGAAACAUCAAUUAACGUUUCAUGUAAAUGCAAAAUAACAAGAUAUCGAGCUUUCUAAUUCUGGAACGCCUGGCUCUUGUGGAAGAAGCAGUAUUUCCUCUCAUAAGUCUGUUACCUCAUACAUCGGCUCCCUCCUCGUGAUAUGUGUUCACGAAGCUCGCGAGAGGAAGAAACAUGCACGAGAGCACGAAGGGGGGUCGAUCCUGACGCGAGCUAUAGCUCUUCGAAUCAGACAGCCGGUCAAAGAAGGAGAAGAAGGUCACGGAAAAAGGAAGCGAGAGGAAGUGGAAGAGGAGGAAGAAGAGGAGACGCAGGAUGGUAGCAGAGCCAGACUGGACGGCGCUGGUCUCGUCGCUCGCGUGGUAAACAAAGCUGUAACUCUCCUCUCGCGGAGAGGAAUCAAUGGUUGGUAGCGGAGCUCUUCGAGGUACAAACUCGCGGAGUACCAAACCCUCUCGGAGGCAUCCAUCUUAGUUUUGGCGUAACGUGCAUGCUGAUGCACUCGUGGGGAAUGCUGUCACAGAAUGGUUUAAAAAAAAGUAUAACAGAUAUAGAAAGUUGUUAGAGGCGUUCUUUUGGAGGAAAAAAUCAUCGAGUUUACGGUCGAGUUUUUUUUAAAAAGUUUUUUUAAAGAAGCCGAGAUGAAAGCAGUGAUUUUCUAACUUGAAAUUAAUGAUUCGUGAAAACUUGGAGCUGUGAAUGCUUAGCAUUUCGUGGAUCGUCUGCCACAAAUCUCUUCUCAGACAUCUAUCUUACUUGCUGCGAACAGUUGACGUUUUUGAUACGUGAACGCAGGCAAAACGAACCAUGAAAGAUCGUAUUGUUGGUAGUUUAGAUCAUUUUUCUUGAGACUUCCACUGUAGAAUACAUUUACGAUUGUUUUUCUUUAACAAAAACUGACUGUAUUAUUUAUUUUU